rnacentral:rRNA from 1 species
GACGAACGCUGGCGGCGUGCCUAACACAUGCAAGUCGAACGGAAAGGCCCUGCUUUUGUGGGGUGCUCGAGUGGCGAACGGGUGAGUAACACGUGAGUAACCUGCCCUUGACUUUGGGAUAACUUCAGGAAACUGGGGCUAAUACCGGAUAGGAGCUCCUGCUGCAUGGUGGGGGUUGGAAAGUUUCGGCGGUUGGGGAUGGACUCGCGGCUUAUCAACUUGUUGGUGGGGUAGUGGCUUACCAAGGCUUUGACGGGUAGCCGGCCUGAGAGGGUGACCGGCCACAUUGGGACUGAGAUACGGCCCAGACUCCUACGGGAGGCAGCAGUGGGGAAUAUUGCACAAUGGGCGGAAGCCUGAUGCAGCAACGCCGCGUGCGGGAUGACGGCCUUCGGGUUGUAAACCGCUUUCGCCUGUGACGAAGCGUGAGUGACGGUAAUGGGUAAAGAAGCACCGGCUAACUACGUG